GUGUGUGUGUGUCGAGAUUUAGGGCAGGAAGAACAACACCCACCUCUUCACUAUCAACUAGAAAUUCAGCCAAUUGAAGGUGAAUAAGAAUCAAAAUCUUGUGCAUGUGAUGAGAUUCAUAACCAUCUAAGAAUUCUCUACAUAAGGGAUUAAGGAAGAAAGCUCAAGUCCUUCCGGAUCGCAAACAAACAACCGUAAAGGUAAAGCAAUUGAUCGAUGGCACUACUUGGACCGAACACACUCUUGAUGCACGCUUCCGCGAAGAUCCUAGUUAUGGUCUAAACUUUUGGUUAAAUGUUUUUGUUUAAAUGGGUCUUUUGUAUGUUAAUGAACCCGGUAGUGGUUAGACGUUAAAUGUGUAGUUAAAGACUUGGUUGGUCUUCAUGAAAUAUUUGGGCUAUAAAUCUUUGUAACUAUUUUCUUAGUUAAUAUGAAG